GCUCCACACAAAGAUUUUAUUGUUGUGAAAAAAGAAUGGGCUGCUAUUCGAAUUCAGGCUGCCUUUCGUGGGUUUCUGGUAAUUUAUAUGUUUUCCCUUUUUGCAAUUAUCUCCACUCAAAGAUUUGUUUGUCAUUUAUAUAUGAUUAUAUGAAGAUGAAAAAAAAAUCAUUUUUUUUCAUUUAAUUGGGGAAGAUAAAGCAUUGUUUUGGAGAAAUUGAUGUUGAAACAGAAUCUUUAUUUUUUUUUCCAUUAAAAUGGGGGAAGAGAAAGUAAUGUUUUGGAGAAAAUGUUGCUGAAACAGAAUCUGGAAAAGUUGCAUUUUAAUUGGAACAUAUUUAGAUGAGCGUUUAAUCAAGAGCCAACUGUCUCGAUAUGAAAAAAAGGGAAGCCCGGUGUAGUAAGAUCCUACU
rnacentral:lncRNA from 1 species